AAAUUGAAGAGUUUGAUCAUGGCUCAGAUUGAACGCUGGCGGCAGGCCUAACACAUGCAAGUCGAACGGUAACAGGAAACAGCUUGCUGUUUCGCUGACGAGUGGCGGACGGGUGAGUAAUGUCUGGGAAACUGCCUGAUGGAGGGGGAUAACUACUGGAAACGGUAGCUAAUACCGCAUAACGUCGCAAGACCAAAGAGGGGGACCCU
rnacentral:rRNA from 1 species